rnacentral:rRNA from 1 species
UACAGAGGUCUCAAGCGUUGUUCGGAUUCAUUGGGCGUAAAGGGUGCGUAGGUGGUGAUGCAAGUCUGGUGUGAAAUCUCGGAGCUCAACUCCGAAAUUGCACCGGAUACUGCGUGACUCGAGGACUGUAGAGGAGAUCGGAAUUCACGGUGUAGCAGUGAAAUGCGUAGAUAUCGUGAGGAAGACCAGUUGCGAAGGCGGAUCUCUGGGCAGUUCCUGACACUGAGGAGCGAAAGUGUGGGGAGCGAACAGG